rnacentral:rRNA from 1 species
UACGUAGGGUCCAAGCGUUGUCCGGAAUCAUUGGGCGUAAAGAGCGUGUAGGCGGCUUGUUAAGUCUGGCGUUAAAUCUCGGGGCUCAACCCCGAGCGGUCGUGAGAAACUGGCAGGCUAGAGUGCGGGAGAGGAGAGUGGAAUUCCUGGUGUAGCGGUGAAAUGCGCAGAUAUCAGGAAGAACACCCGUGGCGAAGGCGGCUCUCUGGAACGCAACUGACGCUGAGACACGAAAGCGUGGGGAGCAAACAGG